rnacentral:rRNA from 1 species
GCUUGUCUCAAAGAUUAAGCCAUGCAUGUCUAAGUAUAAACAAAUUUAUAGUGAAACUGCGAAUGGCUCAUUAUAUCAGUUAUAGUUUAUUUGGCGAUAAAAACUACUUGGAUAACCGUAGUAAUUCUAGAGCUAAUACAUGCAUCAACUCCCAACUGCUUGUCGGACGGGAUGUAUUUAUUAGAUUGAAACCAAUGCGGGGCAACCCGGUAUUGUGGUGAAUCAUAAUAACUUUGCGGAUCGCAGACCUCGCGUCGGCGACGAAUCAUUCAAGUUUCUGCCCUAUCAGCUUUGGAUGGUAGGGUAUUGGCCUACCAU